CCUACGGGAGGCAGCAGUGGGGAAUAUUGGACAAUGGGCGCAAGCCCCGAUCCAGCAAUGCCGCGUGUGUGAAGAAGGUCUUCGGAUUGUAAAGCACUUUUGGCAGGGACGAUGAUGACGGUACCUGCAGAAUAAGCCCCGGCUAACUUCGUGCCAGCAGCCGCGGUAAU
rnacentral:rRNA from 1 species